rnacentral:misc_RNA from 1 species
UACGGAGGGUGCGAGCGUUAAUCGGAAUUACUGGGCGUAAAGCGUGCGUAGGCGGUUGUCUAAGUCAGAUGUGAAAGCCCCGGGCUCAACCUGGGAACUGCAUUUGAAACUGGGCAGCUAGAGUUUGGUAGAGGAAGGUAGAAUUCCUAGUGUAGCGGUGAAAUGCGUAGAUAUUCGGAGGAAUACCAGUGGCGAAGGCGGCCUUCUGGACCAAAACUGACGCUGAGGUACGAAAGCGUGGGGAGCAAACAGG